CAGGGAGACAAAACUGAUUAUGAUGCUUGAAUAUUAAUUUUUAGGCCAUAAUCCUGUCACCUUAGGUCGAUCGGUACCUCAAUUAAAUAAAAAAAUCAAGAAAUUGGUUUUAAUUUAUUGAAUUCAGUUCCUAAACUUUGUCUAGGUCACACCCAGCAAUGGUACUCCUGGGCCAUUAGUUCAGGUGGUUAGAGCGCACCCCUGAUAAGGGUGAGGUCCCUGGUUCAAGUCCAGGAUGGCCCAUUCGGUGUUGGGGGUAUAGCUCAGUUGGUAGAGCGCCUGCUUUGCAAGCAGGAUGUCAGCGGUUCGAGUCCGCUUACCUCCACUGAUCAACCUCCUUUCAGCGAAGUCAAGGAGAAUAUUGUUUAUAGGUGAUCUAGAAUUUGUUCACGAUGAAUGAACCUAGCUUCUUAACAUUUUUCUAAUUAAUUUAGUAUUUAUUGAUAGGAUGCUGGGCUCGCUGCAAUUUAAUUGCAGGGGAUUCAGCAGAACCUUGACAACUGCAUAGGUGAGUCUGGAAAGAAUAAAGCAUCUCAUGGAUGCAUUGAUUCUUUUAAUUAUAUGUAUGCUUUUGAUUUAAUUAAAAGCAUAAUUAUAGUCUAGAAUUAAUGCUAAUUUUUUGAGAAAUAGCCGAGACUUUAUAACGCUCUUUCAUUGUUUAAAAGACAUUGAGAGUAAUUUUUUGAUUUGUUCUUAUCUUUAAUUGAAACUUAAGAUUAUUUCUUUGGUUUUUAUUUGAUAAAGCAAAAUUAGAAAUAAAACUGUUUAAAAAACAUUGCGUUAUAGAGAAAUUAAU
rnacentral:tRNA from 1 species